GACGAACCGUGCGAACGUUGUUCGGAAUCACUGGGCUUAAAGGGCGCGUAGGCGGUCGAUCAAGUCCGGGGUGAAAUCCUGCAGCUUAACUGUAGAAGUGCCUUGGAUACUGGUUGACUCGAGGGAGGUAGGGGUCUGUGGAACUUCUGGUGGAGCGGUGAAAUGCGUAGAUAUCGGAAGGAACAUCAGUGGCGAAGGCGACUUCCUGGACCAAUACUGACGCUCAGGUGCGAAAGCGUGGGGAGCAAACAGG
rnacentral:rRNA from 1 species